rnacentral:lncRNA from 1 species
AGGUCACCCGCUAACCUGGGGAGGGUUUGACCUCAGCCCUCCGCCUCCCCAGACCCAAUCCUGGUGUUUCUGGCCCCCUUUCCCUGUGUCCCUGAGCCCACCCCGCCCUAUCUCUAAGGGCCAAACCCCUCCCUCAAGUCUAGACCCUUGCCCAGUUCUUGGGCCCUUUUCUGCAGGUGCCUUAAUGUGUCUUCCACCUUCCCCUGCGAUCCAUUUCUGGCUAAGUUACCAGUGUGGGACUCCUCCAGAGGGAAAGAGGGAGAUUUUGCCUUCAUUCCUGCCUUCCUGCCUUCCUUCCUGCCUUCCUACCUGCCUGCCUUCCUUCCUUCCUGCUUUCCUUCCAUCCCGCCUUCCUUCCUUCCAUCGUAUUUAUUGAGCGCUUGCUGUGUGCAGAGCACUGUCCUGAGCGCUUGGGAGAGUACACUACAACAACAAACAGACACAUCCCCUGCCCGCAACGAGCUUACAAUCUAGGGGGAGGGGGAGAGGAGCCGCUCCAGUCUCUACCCCCCUCCCCAUCUCCACCUCCCCCCCCCUCCCCAGACCCGCCUGAGACAUUUUUCCUCUUUGGAGAGCAAUAGGAAGGGGAGAAAGGGUGAGGGAGGUAAAGGAGCUGGGGUUGCUGUCUGGGGUCCUGUCUGGUGCGUCUGUCCUGCUGAGAGUUGAGGCAGGGAUGCUGGGGACCCUCUCCUUCCUCUUCUGUGUGCCCAAAGUGUAUGUGAGUGUGCAAGCUGAGUCGUGUGUGUGUAACGGAGAAAGGGCGCACAUGUGUAUAUAAACCCGUCUCUGUAUGCAGGGAGGCAGUGUGUGGGUGUGCAGGAUGGGAGGGUAUCUGUGUGGAUCUGUGUGUGUGUGUGUGUGUGUGUGUGUGUGUGGAGUGUGUGUGUGAGAGUGGGUGCUGGAGGAGGUUAUGACAGCUUCUGUUUCUGGGGUGUGAGGGAGGGCGAGGGGAUGGGGGCUGCCGCCCCCGGGGAAGAGGGGGCUCGCAGAGGGGGCGGAGACCCAAGAGGUGGGAUCCCCCCCCCUGCACCCAGCCCCUCCCCGCCCCCCACCCCCACCCCCAGGCUCCUCCUAAUUGGCUGCCCAAUCUCGGGGUUCGCCUUUACAUCCUCCAGCGGCGCCGAGCGCGGGAGACACAGAGACACACACACACACAGACACGAGGCCAGGAGACCCACAGGAGCCCAGAGGACCCAGGACCCCGGACACCCCGCCGCCCCCUCCCAGAUCCCCCGACCCCCGACCCUGCCGCCAGCAUGGACUGCUGCACCGUGUUUAUUGAGCGCCCCCGAGGAGGCGUUGCGCUGUUUUCCAGGAGUUUUUCCAUGA